rnacentral:rRNA from 1 species
UACGGAGGAUGCAAGCGUUAUCCGGAUUUAUUGGGCGUAAAGCGUCCGUAGGUGGUUAAUCAAGUCUAUUGUCAAAGCCUGGGGCUCAACCCUGGACCUGCAUUCGAUACGGGCAGACUAGAGUUCGGUAGGGGUGACUGGAAUUCCUGGUGUAGCGGUGAAAUGCGCAGAUAUCAGGAGGAACACCUAUUGCGAAGGCAGCUCGCUGGGACGUAACUGACGCUGAGACGCGAAAGCGUGGGGAGCAAACAGG